GCGCGCGCAGCGACGGUAAAACGGUAUCUGCCUGGCCCGUACGGGGAUCGAACCCGCGACCUUGGCGUUAUUAGCACCACGCUCUAACCAACUGAGCUAACCGGCCACCCGACGGAAGGGUGGCCUCUAUUGUGAAGAUGUAAACAAAAAUCCUGGACACCGGUUCUUCAAGUUGGAGGAGAGGGAGGAAGGGGGAGGGGAGAGAGGAGAGGGAGGGGAGGAGGGGAGGAGGAAAGGGAGGAGAGGACAAAACAAAAAAAUGCCAAAGACGGACAGUUUUUAAAAAAAAGUCCCGCCUUCUUCCCAUUUCGCUCUCCCCCACCGCGGUGAUGGGAAAAGCAGCGAAGGUUAACUCGUGGCUUGAAUGGACGAACCCUCCUGUCGCGAGUCUUUCUCAGAUCCCGGUUCUGACCCGAGAGGAUUCGGACCAAAGCCGCCCGGCGGGGCUUCCUUUCUCCCACCCACGUGUCGCAGCCUUGUCUUCCUGAAAUUGAUUUCCAGUUCUUCAAUCUGGACGCAGAUCCUUGGUCGGAAACUCAGCCUGAGAGAUUUGUGUGAAGUUGAGAGUCUCUUCUGGUGAGGGCGCCAUAGAACAGGCAUUUUCACGUGCCCCCGGAGUUUGCGCCCUGGGAUAAGGUCAUGCUGCACCCGCGCCAGCCCACAAACCUCCAGAGAAGGUGAGAAGCCCCACUGGGUCCCGCUUCCAGGGGGAGUGUGUGUGGCACAAACCAGGAACCCUCAGAAUGCAAUGUUUCUACAUUCCUCGGAACUGUUUAUCCUCAUUCGAAUUCAAGUGUUUUCUAGGAUAUAGCGCAUAACCGGUAAAUGAAAGUCACAGGUGGGUGGACCACAAAUUUACCAGCCCUCCUGGUCCUGAGAAGUGCUUUGCGAUCUUUGAUCUGGUAGACCGCUGAGCUUCUGGAGAACCAAGUUCGGGUGAAAACGGCACAGGUUGUGAAACGCAGAACUCACAGGGGCAUGUUUACCAGGAGAGCACCGUCCCCUGGCUCAGGGACAGCACAUUCUAGUACAGAGGGGGCCGAAUUAGAAAGAAAAUAAAACAAGGUAAUUUUAGGUGGUGCUUGUGGCUGGGAAGCACGUAAAACAGGUAAUGUGACAGGGAGUGACUGGGACACAGAGGCAGUCAGGAAAGGCCUCC